GAAAGCGUUGCUAAUACCGGAUAUUGUCCCAUUUGCUGUGGCUUUUGGGAUGAAAGGUGACCUCUUCAUGAAAGUUGCCGUUUAGGGAGGGGCCCGCGUACCAUUAGCUUGUUGGUAGGGUAAUGGCCUACCAAGGCUGCGAUGGUUAGCUGGUCUGAGAGGAUGAUCAGCCACACUGGAACUGAAACACGGUCCAGACUCCUACGGGAGGCAGCAGUGAGGAAUUUUGCGCAAUGGGGGAAACCCUGACGCAGCAACGCCGCGUGAGUGAAGAAGGCCCUUGGGUCGUAAAGCUCUGUCAAGUGGGAAAAAAUUCUUUCAAUUAAUAGUUGAAAGGACUGAUGGUACCACUGGAGGAAGCACCGGCUAACUCCGUGCCAGCAGCCGCGGUAAUACGGAGGGUGCAAGCGUUGUUCGGAAUUACUGGGCGUAAAGAGCGUGUANGCGGGGUUGGUAAGUCA
rnacentral:rRNA from 1 species